rnacentral:rRNA from 1 species
AUUGAACGCUGGCGGCAGGCCUAACACAUGCAAGUCGAACGAGUGGCGGACGGGUGAGUAAUGUCUGGGAAACUGCCCGAUGGAGGGGGAUAACUACUGGAAACGGUAGCUAAUACCGCAUACCAUCGGAUGUGCCCAGAUGGGAUUAGCUAGUAGGUGGGGUAACGGCUCACCUAGGCGACGAUCCCUAGCUGGUCUGAGAGGAUGACCAGCAACGCUGGAACUGAGACACGGUCCAGAAUCCUACGGAAGGCAGCAGUGGGGAAUAUUGCACAAUGGGCGCAAGCCUGAUGCAGCCAUGCCGCGUGCAUGAAGAAGGCCUUCGGGUUGUAAAGUACUUUCAGCGAGGAGGCGUUACUCGCAGAAGAAGCACCGGCUAACUCCGUGCCAGACGCCGCGGUAAUAC